CAACUACACCAGGCCCAGGACAGCAGGACCCCUCGCCCCGACUCGCAGACCUAGCCACGCAAGGACGCACUAGUGCUAGUUCCUGCGUGCAGCGAGGCAGCCGCCACCGCCCGCCGGCGACUCCCCUCCUGUCUCCCGCCCUCCGCUCCGGCGACUCCCCUCCCGCGGUCCCGCCCUCCCUCCGCCGCUCAGCCGCACCCUCCGUCCUCCGCCGUUCGUCCGGCCGUCCCCUGCUUUUGCUGGCUGUUGCUCCACCGCCCGCCGCCUCGCCCUGCUGCUCCGGUGCUCGCCGGCUCGCUCUCCUGGCUCUGCUCCGGCCUCUCCUGGCUCCUGCAGUCCUACUCUCCGGCACGCCGUCUGCUGCCCAUGCGGCCAGGCCCAGGAUACUGGGUAUUUGACUGCUUAUGGUUGGUGCUGCUGUCAAACAUUCAGUUGUAUUCAAAAUUUUUGGUGCAAUUGAGCCAUAUUUGAGGUAGCUAUAGCCUGAUAGACGUUAAUUUUUUCUGUCACGUCCGAAAGAAAAAUUGUGCCCGGGGGUUGCUCCAAUCCUGGAUCCGCCACUUGUUCCAGGUCCAAAUACCGCCUCAUAGCCUGUCAGAGGAGGUCACCUCUAGUGGUGUGAAUAUCAUUGAGACCAUGUCUAUCGUGGAAUAUGCUUCACAAGAGGUUUAUUGUUCCACAGACCGAGGGCUUUUGCGCGUUGUUAAAUGUAAAUUACUCCCAUGAACAACUUAGUUUUGGGUCAGUUAACUCUUUUAAUGGUCUGGGAAAAUUUGUGAUUUGAGCUUCAGGCACGGAUUGUUGAAAGGUGAUAUCUGGCUCAAACAUGUUGGAUUCUGAUCUUGUAAGAAAUUUUACUAGUGAAACCGGGAACAUGUCUCUUCCUAGGAAAAGGGAGACAAAUCCACAUAUGUAGACACUAUUUAAGUUCUAAAAUGUUAAUCGGUUUUUACUGCA